AAAACUGCAGCAAUGUCUGUGACUAAAAGACAGAAAAUCUAAGGCCAAAUGAAACAGACACAGGGCUUCUAACUCAAAAAGACCUGCUGUACCCACAGAUACCUCAGAAUCUGCUUGAUGGCAGCUGUGUAUCAGAGAAUGAGAAAGGAAUAAUACAUCCUCUAAGGUGGUGAAGACAUCUGUGAUAAUUUGCCAAUUCCAUGACCUUCAGCAGCUGUGCAGAGGAAAUGAGCUUUCCCAUGAUAACUAGGCAGGAAGUCAAAACUAAUCUAAAGAAAGCAUACUGAAGAACUGAAGUAACCUGGCUUGGUGAAUGAAAAUCCACGUGUGCACUUGAUGCACACUUCCAUGGGCCAAGGGACCGUUAGUCCAAUCGAUGUGAAAUCUCACUUCCACUGGUAGCAUUUUGAUGAAAUGAC
rnacentral:lncRNA from 1 species